rnacentral:rRNA from 1 species
UACGGGGGGGGCAAGCGUUGUUCGGAAUUACUGGGCGUAAAGGGCUCGUAGGCGGCCAACUAAGUCAGACGUGAAAUCCCCAGGCUCAACCUGGGAACUGCGUCUGAUACUGGUUGGCUUGAAUCCGGGAGAGGGAUGCAGAAUUCCAGGUGUAGCGGUGAAAUGCGUAGAUAUCUGGAGGAACACCGGUGGCGAAGGCGGCAUUCUGGACCGAUAUUGACGCUGAGGAGCGAAAGCCAGGGGAGCAAACGGG